rnacentral:rRNA from 1 species
UACAGAGGGGGCAAGCGUUAAUCGGAAUUACUGGGCGUAAAGCGUGCGCAGGCGGUGAUGUAAGACAGAUGUGAAAUCCCCGGGCUCAACCUGGGAACUGCAUUUGUGACUGCAUCGCUGGAGUACGGCAGAGGGGGAUGGAAUUCCGCGUGUAGCAGUGAAAUGCGUAGAGAUGUGGAGGAACACCGAUGGCGAAGGCAGCCCCCUGGGCUAACACUGACGCUCAGGCACGAAAGCGUGGGGAGCAAACAGG